rnacentral:misc_RNA from 1 species
UUUUCUUUUUUUUUUUUCUUGGUUCAAUUUACAUAGGAGGAUGUAAUUUGUUUACAUUUUGAUCUGAUCUUCAGAUGUGUGGGCUAAUAUAUUCUUAGCAGCAGUCAAAUAAUACUCGUCUUAAACCUUGAUUGAUACAAUUUUUUUUUCCCACUCAAACGAUUUUGUAACUAUUCGAGUGUGAAGUUAUCAAAUUGGAUGUAUUUUCUUGCAGAUAUGGUGAACAAGCAGC